GCAGUGGCAACAUAGAGAAAGAAACAAACAAACAAAAAAAAAAGAGGGGGUACAGAGAAGUUGCGUGCCAAGACAUUAUGAAAUCUCACCUAAGAUGCUGGAAAAAUUGCCCCCCCACAGGAAGGAGUUCCUGCUGCUACUCCUCCCUGUGACAGUCAUGCUCCAGCAACAUCAGGUUGAUGCAGGUGAAGACAGCAACAGCGGACAGGAAGAGGAGCUACCGCAGAUGCGUGCUUUUCAAACGGGGUAGAAACGUCAUGGCAGGCUGUUGAGCAGUUGAGGAGAGAAAAGAGAUACUACAUAAACAUAUACAGUGCACAUGAGGACUUGGGAGACCCAGAGAGAGGACACAUGAAGGGGAGGAGAGACAGAUAAAGAUCCUGAGAGUCAAGAGGCUGGGCAUGAGAUCCAGCGCGAGAGACGCAGACAGUGAUUAUGCAGGUAUGUGCAUCCACAACCACUGGAUCAUCAGGUUUGUGAUAAAAAAACAGCUGCCUGCUUCACGUUUGUGUGUGUAUUAAUUGAUAUUAAAAUGAGAUUGAAAUUAAAAUGAGAUUGUUUCUUUAAAAGAGACGAUACAUAUACUGCAACAUACAGCCUU